rnacentral:rRNA from 1 species
AGUCGAGCGAAYCAGUGGGAGCUUGCUCCCKGAGRUUAGCGGCGGACGGGUGAGUAACACGUGGGUAACCUGCCUGUAAGAUUGGGAUAACUCCGGGAAACCGGAGCUAAUACCGGAUAAYAUUUYGAACCGCAUGGUUCGAAAUUGAAAGAUGGUUUCGGCUAUCACUUACAGAUGGACCCGCGGCGCAUUAGCUAGUUGGUGAGGUAACGGCUCACCAAGGCGACGAUGCGUAGCCGACCUGAGAGGGUGAUCGGCCACACUGGGACUGAGACACGGCCCAGACUCCUACGGGAGGCAGCAGUAGGGAAUCUUCCGCAAUGGACGAAAGUCUGACGGAGCAACGCCGCGUGAACGAUGAAGGCCUUCGGGUCGUAAAGUUCUGUUGUUAGGGAAGAACAAGUACCAGAGUAACUGCUGGUACCUUGACGGUACCUAACCAGAAAGCCACGGCUAACUACGUGCCAGCAGCCGCGGUAAUACGUAGGUGGCAAGCGUUGUCCGGAAUUAUUGGGCGUAAAGCGCGCGCAGGCGGUUUCUUAAGUCUGAUGUGAAAGCCCACGGCUCAACCGUGGAGGGUCAUUGGAAACUGGGGAACUUGAGUGCAGAAGAGGAGAGUGGAAUUCCACGUGUAGCGGUGAAAUGCGUAGAGAUGUGGAGGAACACCAGUGGCGAAGGCGACUCUCUGGUCUGUAACUGACGCUGAGGCGCGAAAGCGUGGGGAGCGAACAGGAUUAGAUACCCUGGUAGUCCACGCCGUAAACGAUGAGUGCUAAGUGUUAGAG